AGCAAACAUGUGCUUUUUAAUUCUGCUUCCUGUUUGGAGGUCAACUGCAGUGAGGUCUCUAUACCACAGAGUGGUGCGUCCCCAAGUCCUGGUGAACUUAGGAAAUGGGCAUUAUCCUCUGAAACAUGUUUAUAGAGGUGACUUUUUUAGUAAAUCCCUGGGACUCUUGUUGACAUGGGAGUUACUUUCUUCCCUCAAUUGUUGGCGUCUCACACGGUCAUUCAUCAGCUCAAUACAAACAAGUCUUCACACAGUUGGAGUUUCCUCCUCACCUGUUGCUGAACCAGGCAGCGUGGAUUGGCAUAUUCACUGACUUCAUGGCACGAAGGCCUACAAAAGCGGAACAACUCUUCACCAGUGCAAAAAUGUUCUAAAAGAUACUCUCUCUGUCCAAUACACUUGUAAGUGCAUUCUAGAAUAUAAAAAAUAGAGAGAGAUAAAUGUUCUGUUGAAAGAUAAUCUCCCAAAAUAUAAGCUUUUAUGUA
rnacentral:lncRNA from 1 species